AGAGUUUGAUCCUGGCUCAGGACGAACGCUGGCGGCACGCCUAACACAUGCAAGUCGAGCGGAGAUUGAGAGCUUGCUCUCAUGAUCAGCGGCGGACGGGUGAGUAACACGUGAGCAACCUGCCUUUCAGAGGGGGACAACAGUUGGAAACGACUGCUAAUACCGCAUAACAUUGCCGAACGGCAUCGUUUGGCAAUCAAAGGAGCAAUCCGCUGAAAGAUGGGCUCGCGUCUGAUUAGAUAGUUGGUGAGGUAACGGCUCACCAAGUCGACGAUCAGUAGCCGGACUGAGAGGUUGAUCGGCCACAUUGGGACUGAGACACGGCCCAGACUCCUACGGGAGGCAGCAGUGGGGGAUAUUGGACAAUGGGGGAAACCCUGAUCCAGCGAUGCCGCGUGAGGGAAGAAGGUUUUCGGAUUGUAAACCUCUGUGGACAGGGACGAUAAUGACGGUACCUGUUUAGAAAGCCACGGCUAACUACGUGCCAGCAGCCGCGGUAAUACGUAGGUGGCGAGCGUUAUCCGGAAUUAUUGGGCGUAAAGAGGGAGCAGGCGGCACUAAGGGUCUGUGGUGAAAGAUCGAAGCUUAACUUCGGUAAGCCAUGGAAACCGUAGAGCUAGAGUGUGUGAGAGGAUCGUGGAAUUCCAUGUGUAGCGGUGAAAUGCGUAGAUAUAUGGAGGAACACCAGUGGCGAAGGCGACGAUCUGGCGCAUAACUGACGCUCAGUCCCGAAAGCGUGGGGAGCAAAUAGGAUUAGAUACCCUAGUAGUCCACGCCGUAAACGAUGAGUACUAAGUGUUGGGAGUCAAAUCUCAGUGCUGCAGUUAACGCAAUAAGUACUCCGCCUGAGUAGUACGUUCGCAAGAAUGAAACUCAAAGGAAUUGACGGGGGCCCGCACAAGCGGUGGAGCAUGUGGUUUAAUUCGAUGCAACGCGAAGAACCUUACCUGGUCUUGACAUCCACAGAACUUUCCAGAGAUGGAUUGGUGCCUUCGGGAACUGUGAGACAGGUGCUGCAUGGCUGUCGUCAGCUCGUGUUGUGAAAUGUUGGGUUAAGUCCCGCAACGAGCGCAACCCUUAUCCUUUGUUGCCAGCGGUCCGGCCGGGAACUCAAAGGAGACUGCCAGUGAUAAACUGGAGGAAGGUGGGGAUGACGUCAAGUCAUCAUGGCCCUUACGACCAGGGCUACACACGUGCUACAAUGGCGCAUACAAAGAGAAGCGACCUCGCGAGAGCAAGCGGACCUCAUAAAGUGCGUCGUAGUCCGGAUUGGAGUCUGCAACUCGACUCCAUGAAGUCGGAAUCGCUAGUAAUCGUGGAUCAGAAUGCCACGGUGAAUACGUUCCCGGGCCUUGUACACACCGCCCGUCACACCAUGGGAGUGGGUUGCAAAAGAAGUAGGUAGCUUAACCUUCGGGAGGGCGCUUACCACUUUGUGAUUCAUGACUGGGGUGAAGUCGUAACAAGGUAACCGUAGGGGAACCUGCGGUUG
rnacentral:rRNA from 1 species